rnacentral:lncRNA from 1 species
UUGCAAUUUAGAAAUGCAGUAUAAUGCUAGGGAAUGACCCCUAGGUCGUCUCUCAAGGACCAACUGCGGUUCAGAGUCAAGUCUAACACGAAAAGGGGGGGGGGGGGAAAAGUGUUUUUGUGAAUACGAAUAACUAAAUUAAAAUGAAUGGACAUUAAACUCAACUGUGUAAGUUAGAAAACAUCAAGGUAAAAUAAAGUGCUAAACCCAACAUUUCAACAAACAAUUAU